GUUCAUAUUGGAAAUGGAAGGUCAAGUUGACUGCAUUGCAUUAUGGGUAUUAAACACAGUUUGCUCUGUAGUCAUACUAAAGGUCUUUGCACAUACAGUCUGACAUUUUCGUAUGCGUUUUUCGUAUUUGGCUCUUGUUUGUACGGUGUCUCUGAAUUGUUAAAAAAAGGCCACUCAAAAUGCUUGACGGAUGCGAAAAACGCAGAAAAUCGAACCCGGUCCGAAUUUUUUUAUGACGGACGAAAAUAUCGGAGGCAGUGUGUAAAUGUGAUUGACACAACGUGAGGUCGUAUUUAUUUUUUAUUGUGCGGAAAAUUCGGACGCAAUGGGCUUAAGACUGUAAGGCCCAUAACGUGAAUUAAAUUUAGAUUUUUAAAUAGAAGUUACAUAAAGUAAAUAACUGUUUAUUAAUUUUUUCUUGCGCGAUACUUACACCUCGAGUGAUUUUUGUCUUCCUGAUUCAGCUGUGCCACACUUUCUCCAGACAUGUCUCUUUAGCAGCUAUGCCUGCUAAAACACACACACACUUGGGUCUCUUACACGCACUUGCCUCGUCUGACCCCCGGGUCAAGCUGAAGUGACUUUGAGCCCUGUGUGUAACUGGGCCUCUUUGAAAGUGGGCCUCACAUUCCUGCUCCCUCUAACGGGGGAUGUCCUGCUCGCUUCCAGCAUGAGAGGGAAGUUUUCUGCCGUCGGGGAUUAUUAUGCGCAGUUUCCUCACCAAGAAGCUAUCGUCUCCUCCCACUUCUAAAAAAGCAGAGCGUCCACAAAGCUGAAAACGACAUGAAGUAAAUACCUGCCUCUCUGACCGCCAGCCUCACCUCCUUUGCCUCUUCCCUUCCGCCUCGCUCGUCUGCGCUCGUGCGCUCUUAGGGAGGAGGCGGCCGCUCUCCGUCCGCUUUUGUGUGGCUGUGCAGAAGUGCCUUGGUUGGGAGGAGGAGGCGGAGGGGAACAGCUGCUCCCCGCACAGAAGCUGGUUUCCCAGCCUGACGGGCAGCUAGAGGCAGUCAGCGCCGGGCCGUUUCCCCCUGGGGCCCUCGGGUUGGUUCUCCAGCCUCCACAGCUCUGAUUGGGAGUAUUUUACGGCAGCGCUGAAACACGAAAUGGACCAGAACAAGUAGGAUUCUUUUCCUUCCCAAAGGCCGGGAGCUUCUGUCCUCCCACGAACAACAGAAGCAGACGUGGAUUAAAUCAUCGCCACUGAAAUUCAAUCAGAGAAGUCUUUCCUCGGGAAUGCUGAUGUUCAGGAAAGCAGUGAUGGUCUUAAACUGUGGAACAAGAUCUUUCUGAAGAUUCUCAAAGUGGACCACCAGCAGGCGACGGGC